rnacentral:lncRNA from 1 species
AAAAGUCGAGCUUAAAGUGAAAGCAAAUGUAAGCAUUAAAGCUUGUUGGUUCAAAGCAUAUGCCAAAGAAGAUCCUUCCCCACCAUUCGAACAAUCCUCCUCAACUCACACUAUUUAAGGGCCUCUACAUUCUUUAUUACAUCUCCAAGCUCUGGCUCUUUCAGCUGACCCCGGAUCUUCUUCCCAUUUUCCGAUGGAUUCCGAGCUCGACGACGCCGGCCGCGACAAUGGGUGGAAAGCCAAGAGCAGCGACGAGGAGGAGUAUGAAUAAAUUUGGUAGGUCAUGAUGGUUAUUGCAGCAUUAGGGCAACUAUGAUCUUUGGCAAAUGUACCCUGUGGCUAUGAUUAUGGCUUACAAAAUAAUUAAUCAUCUUAAAUAAUGAAUAUUACUAUGUUUUGUCUAAUUCCUCUCUUCUAUCUUUACUUGUGUGUUCCGUUCGUUUUUGUUUUUUGUUUUUUUUUUUUUCAAAUUCUAGCAAUAGUUCAAUUGAAUGUUAUUCUUGCCUAUGCUAUUUAUUUACCUUUAUAAGAUAUCUUUGACCACCAAUACUUGUAAAAUUUGUGCACUAAUAAUGGCACGCUAAGGCCUGUUUAAGGCCUAAUUGGUAUUUGGUAGCCAUGCUUUGCUUUGAGAGCACAGGUGUUAAAACUUUGGUGAAAACUUCUAUUUAAUAGCAGACAUCAACAUUUGAAUAAGUUGAUGUCGAAAUCUUCAGCGCAUUACUUCCACAAAGAGUACUUUUCACCAACAUUCCCUUGAUAAUCUCCAACUCGCAAAUAGAUAGAUUUUAAUUUGGACAUUAACCUCUCAUAAAUUAACAAAAAAAAAAAAAAAUUGACUGUUACCAUCAAGAAUAAUUUCAUUAUUUAAAAAAAGUCCAAUCAUAUUUCUUCUUUCAACCAGCAGCAUAUCUGAAAAUUGAAUCGAAAAUUUGAUGAAACGGAGGUGCUGUAAAUGGCUUUUGAGUUUUGAAGCAAAUUCUAUAAAUUGGCUGCGAUGAAUGCAGGUGCUUUUAAAUGGCUUAAGCAUGAAGAAAUUUUUGGAAAAUUGGUUGAAUUUUUUGUAACGGCCUUUAGCUUCACAUAAAAUAUAAAAAAAUCUACCCAUAUUCCACAAUUGUAAAAUGACUUAUUUCAUUAAACAAUUUUUUUUUUUUUUUUGGGCUCCAGCCUCCGUUUGCAUUACCUUUGCUUGUCGGAAAAUAAGCACCAAAAGCUACAACCUGACAUUAACAUUGAUCCGAGAGAAAAUUGUGUUUCUUAGCCUUUUUUUUUUUUCCCCCUUUUCUAAUUUCAUUAUAUUUCUUAGCUUAGUUUCACAGAAGCAUCCUCUAUAUAUAUAUAUAUAUUGAUAAGUCCUCUAUAUUCAUUUUAGGUACUAGGUAUUGAUCUCUCAUUUUUCCUAAUUGCUUUCAUAAUUCGGUGCAGAAAAAACUAGGGUUGUUGAACCGACAAUGCAAAGUCAUUAGAGAAUGGCUCAUGCUCAAGACUGUGAGUGAAGUUAAAAGAGUUUUUAUGGGCAUGUUUUAUGUGAAAUUUAUUCACAAUUUUAGCUCUAUAACCGUGCCAAUUACUGAAUGUUUGAAGAAAGGAAAGUUCAAUUGAGGAGUCGAGCAAGAGGUUAGCUAGCCUUUAUUGUAGGAGAAAUUGUCUAAUUGUAAUUUCCCGACUCCCCAAGGGAGGUCCUGUUAUUUUGGAUAUAAAGUCCAUCUCCGUGUGGG